rnacentral:lncRNA from 1 species
AAAUAAUUGAUGAUAUCAAUGUAUCAGGGAGUUAAUUGUCUAACUAAAAAAAGUGUUCAUCCGAGACUUAAUCCUUUAAUAGUAACGACUCCUCACUUAGUGAAAAAUGAUUGAGAUGGACAGCAAAUAGAUUCUUCGUACCAUUUUUAUCUGAUAUUUCUAUAUUAAACUCCUGUAGAAGGAGUAUCCACUGGAUUAGCUCGAUUUUGCCUCUUUCUUUUUUAGUAGGUACUUCAAUGCUGUAUGGUCUGAGAACAUAAUAACCUUAUUAUCCAAU